GGUGACUUGGUAGGCAUAAUCAGUACACCACAUUUUACGCACAAACAUUAUUGGGGUUGCGGUGAAUGACUCCAUUGCUGAUUCUGGUGCCUUCACCGUUGCAUUCAAAGCAUUGAAGAAAGGGUAGGGUGCAGUGCAGCUCCUAUGAAAUCUGGUCAAUGUGAAAGGGUAUUUCGUUUGGAUAAUUGGGAGUGGGCGGCUGGUUUCAGUUCAAGGUUUGGCCUUUACGAUGUCAUCAUUUCAGGGGUAAGCUGAACAGAUACUCCAAGGACUCGGUAACCAUUUGCUGACGGGGAACCUCUUCGGCCGCAUAAUCGCAUUCUGGUAUUUACACUGUACAUUGCAAGGGCAUCUUAACACUAUAUUGUCAGAAGAACAUCAAAAGAAUGGAAAUCUUUUGCUAUGCAUUUUGUCAUCAGGUUGCUCGUGCUAUAUUAGAAAACUCGAAGGACGAGAUUAAGGUUCACCUUAUUUAUGCUAACAUCGCAUACGAAG